UCGAACGAGCGAGAGAGAGCUUGCUUUCUCGAGCGAGUGGCGAACGGGUGAGUAACGCGUGAGGAACCUGCCUCAAAGAGGGGGACAACAGUUGGAAACGACUGCUAAUACCGCAUAAGCCCACGGCUCGGCAUCGAGCAGGGGGAAAAGGAGUAAUCCGCUUUGAGAUGGCCUCGCGUCCGAUUAGCUAGUUGGUGAGGUAACGGCCCACCAAGGCAACGAUCGGUAGCCGGACUGAGAGGUUGAACGGCCACAUUGGGACUGAGACACGGCCCAGACUCCUACGGGAGGCAGCAGUGGGGAAUAUUGCACAAUGGGGGGAACCCUGAUGCAGCGACGCCGCGUGGAGGAAGAAGGUCUUCGGAUUGUAAACUCCUGUUGUUGGGGAAGAUAAUGACGGUACCCAACAAGGAAGUGACGGCUAACUACGUGCCAGCAGCCGCGGUAAAACGUAGGUCACAAGCGUUGUCCGGAAUUACUGGGUGUAAAGGGAGCGCAGGCGGGAAGACAAGUUGGAAGUGAAAUCUAUGGGCUCAACCCAUAAACUGCUUUCAAAACUGUUUUUCUUGAGUAGUGCAGAGGUAGGCGGAAUUCCCGGUGUAGCGGUGGAAUGCGUAGAUAUCGGGAGGAACACCAGUGGCGAAGGCGGCCUACUGGGCACCAACUGACGCUGAGGCUCGAAAGUGUGGGUAGCAAACAGGAUUAGAUACCCUGGUAGUCCACACCGUAAACGAUGAUUACUAGGUGUUGGAGGAUUGACCCCUUCAGUGCCGCAGUUAACACAAUAAGUAAUCCACCUGGGGAGUACGACCGCAAGGCUGAAACUCAAAGGAAUUGACGGGGG
rnacentral:rRNA from 1 species